GCGUCCGUAGUGUAGUGGUAGCACACGAGCUUCCAAACCUCUUAGUCCGAGUUCGAUUCUUGGCGGGCGUGC
rnacentral:tRNA from 3 species